UUGACACUUAGACUUAACCAUUAAGUCACCAAUUCUCUCCACUUUCAUUACAAUACCUGAUUUCACUCUCUCUCCUCUCGUCACUCUCUAGUUGGCCGAAGAUGGGAAGAAAAAAAUCUAGCCAAAAUCCUCACAAACUUGCUUCAAUCCACUUCCAAAUUUCAUCAUCCAUUAGAGGGCUUUGAUCCUAGCUUGGAAGAGGGGGCUGUUCAUCGGUUUUCUUGGAGGAAUUUCGGUCAAGAUUUCUGCCCUAAAGCUGUCCAACUAAGUUCUUGAGGUUUGGAAGUGGAAGUUCUGAGGCUUAAUUAGUGACCCCCAAAAAUAAUUUUUCCCCACAGGGCUCGAGGCCAAAGAAAGCGCUUGUAUUGAGUUAUUAGUGUCUGAAGGGAUAUCUCAUAUAUAAUUUGAAUUCGAUUCACUUGAUAAGUAUUUGAUGUAAUUAUUUGAGAACUGAGGACUUUUGUCUUAUUCGGGGAAUGAUACCCUUACUUGAGAUUUGUAAUGUAUCUUAUCUCGUUCUAAGUUUGAAAAAUGUUAUUUCGUUUA